CUGUGGAAGUAGACUUCUGUGCCAAAAAAAGGGUGCCAAGUUGUCUACAUCUCCAGCCAAGCAACAAAACUAUACACAACGUUAUAAAUUACCUGCGGGACUUUAAAGAGCUUUUAGAAGACAGUCAAAAGAACCACGAUAUAAGAUGCGGCAGUCAACAUUCACUUAUACAAAAUAGAGGUCUUGAAGAUUUUUAUAAAACCAAAAGACACACAAAGAAAUUAAAACUGCCGAGAAAACGAAAAGCACGAGUAGCAUCAGAAAUACAAUGGCUUAUGACUGCCGCAUCGUUCCAGUUAAAUGUGGCCACCGUUAUGGAUAACGAAACAAACACAUUCCAGACUCUGUCUAGGAAGGCCAAAAUAUUCAAUGAAAGAUGGGCACUAGUGAUGUCGAUGUUAAAUCUUUCUUCAAGAAAGAGAAAAGAGCCGUGCUACCGACAAGGCAAUGUUCCGAAAGCACUCAUUAAGGAGACCUGUCUUUAUGGUGCCUUAGUUUUAAGGGAUGUCAAAUGUACCAUAGAUAAUGUGUUGAGAGUCUUGGACAAUUGUAAGAUAAAAGGAUUAAAAAGAGGAAAAGGAGGUAAAAGAGGAAAAAGAGGUAAAACGAAUAAAAAACAUGGUCCAUAUUUGCAUUGCAGUAAAAUAAUACGUUCAGCGUUUUACAUUAUUCGUAAG